rnacentral:rRNA from 1 species
AAUGGGGAGCUUUGGGGGAAUGGCUGACGCAGCAACGCCGCGUGGGUGAUGAAGGCCUUUGGGUCGUAAAGCCUAUCCGGAUGCAAGAGUGCCAUAGGGGUGAAUACCCCUGGUGGAUGACGGUACCUUUGAAGGAGGCACCGGGCAAGUCCGUUCCGGCAGGCCAGGUAAUACGGUGCGUACAAGCCUUGUUCGAAUCGGAGUGGGGUGAAGUAAAGGUAGCCGACCGACCGUGUCGAGUGUGAUAGCAAUCGGCUCGGCUGAGGAUGGGCACUCGAAACUGGUUGGCUUGAGUCCGGUAGAGGAGGGUAGAAUUCCGGGUGUAGAGGUGCAAUUCGUAGAUAUCCGUAGGAACACCAGUGGCGAAGGCGACCGUCUUGGCCGGUACUGACGAGAGGUGGAAAGCGUGGGGAGCAAACAGGCUGAGAUACCUUGGAGUUCACGCGGUA